CCUACGGGAGGCAGCAGUGGGGAAUUUUUCGCAAUGGGGGCAACCCUGACGAAGCAAUGCCGCGUGGAUGAAGAAGGCCUUCGGGUUGUAAAGUCCUUUCGUGGGGGACGAAAAGGCGGAUCCGAAUACGGUCUGCUAUUGACGUGAACCCAAGAAGAAGCACCGGCUAACUCCGUGCCAGCGGCCGCGGUAAUACGGAGGGUGCGAGCGUUAAUCGGAAUUACUGGGCGUAAAGGGCGCGUAGGCGGUGGGUUACGUCUGCCGCGAAAUCCCCGGGCUCAACCUGGGAAUGGCGGUGGAAACGGGCUGACUGGAGUAUGGGAGAGGGUGAUGGAAUUCCAGGUGUAGCGGUGAAAUGCGUAGAGAUCUGGAGGAACACCAGUGGCGAAGGCGGUCACCUGGCCCAAUACUGACGCUGAGGCGCGAAAGCGUGGGGAGCAAACAGGAUUAGAUACCCUGGUAGUCACGCCCUAAACGAUGGAUACUGGAUGUUUGGCGCCUUAGGUGCUGAGUGUCGUAGCUAACGCGAUAAGUAUCCCGCCUGGGAAGUACGGCCGCAAGGUUAAAACUCAAAGGAAUUUGACGG
rnacentral:rRNA from 1 species